UAAACCCGUGAUUUUUCCGCCA
rnacentral:siRNA from 1 species